CUAAUGCCAACACGGAGAGUAGGUUCUACUUAUUCCAAGACCUGGCCAUAAUUAGGACACCGCUAUGUCAACACUCAAUUUACCUCUGAUUCCCCUUUGCUAUAAGCAGCAUUUUAAUAUUUGCUAAGCACUCCUAUCUAUUACAGGCUGUAACACCAAGGCUCUGGGUGCUGCAGAAACAAAUAUGGGCUUGUUUUUGGUAUGUUUCCACUUAUGUAUAAUUCUAUACAUAAGGAAUUAAUGCAUAUAAAUCAAUUCAUUUCUUCUCCUCUUUAGCUCAGUGGCAUUAUUAGAAGUCUUUGCCUGGUCUUGCUGUCUAUCUGAUCUCUGGCCAAUAAGUGCUUCAUAUUCCCUAAAGCAAGGGCUUCUAUGUUGCAUAAGCACAAAAAUACUUCCCAAAUAAUGAAAACACCUUGACGUCUUACAGCUAUGGAAAAAUUGCACACAAGCAUCUGAGACAUCUAAGAAGAAGGAUGUUCUAUUGAACCUCUCCUUAUGUCCACAACAUUCUCACAGCUAUGUGGCCUGAGAGAACCCACAUUUUGUUUUUACUAUUUUAACCUUUUUCUUCAUUCCGGACCUUCUCGGCAG